rnacentral:rRNA from 1 species
GAUGAACSCUAGCGGGAGGCUUAACACAUGCAAGUCGAGGGGUAUAGUAGCAAUACUAGAGACCGGCGCACGGGUGAGUAACGCGUAUGCAACCUGCCCUUUACAGGAGGAUAGCCCGCUGAAAGGCGGAUUAAUACUCCAUAAGAUGGUACUGCCGCAUGGCAGAGCCAUAAAAGCUGAGGCGGUAAAGGAUGGGCAUGCGUGACAUUAGCUAGUUGGCGGGGUAACGGCCCACCAAGGCUACGAUCUGUAGCUGGUCUGAGAGGACGACCAGCCACACUGGAACUGAGACACGGUCCAGACUCCUACGGGAGGCAGCAGUGGGGAAUUUUGGACAAUGGGCGCAAGCCUGAUCCAGCAAUGCCGCGUGCAGGAUGAAGGCCUUCGGGUUGUAAACUGCUUUUGUACGGAACGAAACGGUCCUUUCUAAUACAAGGGGCUAAUGACGGUACCGUAAGAUAAGCACCGGCUAAC